CUACGGGUCGCACCAGUGGGGAAUAUUGGACAAUGGGCGGAAGCCUGAUCCAGCAAUACCGCGUGUGUGAAGAAGGCCCGAGGGUUGUAAAGCACUUUCAAUGGGGAGGAAAAAGCGAAGGUUAAUACCCUUUGAAUUGACAUUACCCAUACAAGAAGCACCGGCUAACUCCGUGCCAGCAGCCGCGGUAAUACGGAGGGUGCGAGCGUUAAUCGGAAUUACUGGGCGUAAAGCGUGCGUAGGCGGGCUGCCAAGCCAGAUGUGAAAGCCCCGGGCUCAACCUGGGAACGGCAUUUGGAACUGGUGAGCUAGAGUUAGGUAGAGGGGAGUGGAAUUUCAGGUGUAGCGGUGAAAUGCGUAGAUAUCUGAAGGAGCACCAGUGGCGAAGGCGGCUCCCUGGACCCAAACUGACGCUGAGGUACGAAAGCGUGGGUAGCAAACAGGAUUAGAUACCCUAGUAGUC
rnacentral:rRNA from 1 species